AACGAACGCUGGCGGCAGGCUUAACACAUGCAAGUCGAGCGGGGGAAGGUAGCUUGCUACCGGACCUAGCGGCGGACGGGUGAGUAAUGCUUAGGAAUCUGCCUAUUAGUGGGGGACAACAUCUCGAAAGGGAUGCUAAUACCGCAUACGUCCUACGGGAGAAAGCAGGGGAUCUUCGGACCUUGCGCUAAUAGAUGAGCCUAAGUCGGAUUAGCUAGUUGGUGGGGUAAAGGCCUACCAAGGCGACGAUCUGUAGCGGGUCUGAGAGGAUGAUCCGCCACACUGGGACUGAGACACGGCCCAGACUCCUACGGGAGGCAGCAGUGGGGAAUAUUGGACAAUGGGGGGAACCCUGAUCCAGCCAUGCCGCGUGUGUGAAGAAGGCCUUAUGGUUGUAAAGCACUUUAAGCGAGGAGGAAGCUACUUUAGUUAAUACCUAGAGAUAGUGGACGUUACUCGCAGAAUAAGCACCGGCUAACUCUGUGCCAGCCGCCGCGGUAA
rnacentral:rRNA from 1 species